UUCCGGUUGAUCCCGCCGGAGGCUACCGCUAUUGGAGUUCGAUUAAGCCAUGCGAGUCGCGAGAAUUAGAUUCUCGGCGUACCGCUCAGUAACACGUGGGUAACCUGCCCUAUGCUGGAUAAUAACCUCGGGAAACUGAGAAUAAUGAUCUAUAGUUCACUACGCCUGGAACGGUGAGUGGAUGAAAGCUCCGGCGGCAUAGGAUGGGCCUGCGGCGUAUCAGGUUGUAGGGGGUGUAAUGUACCCUCUAGCCCUCUACGCGUACGGGUGUUGAGAGACAUCGCCCGGAGAUGGAUUCUGAGACACGAAUCCAGACCCUACGGGGUGCAGCAGGCGCGAAAACUUGGCAAUGCGAGAAAUCGUGACCAGGGAACUCCAAGUGCAUGGGGUAAGACCUAUGCUUUUCUAGACUCUAAAAAGGUCUUGGAAUAAGAGGUGGGUAAGGACGGUGCCAGCCGCCGCGGUAAUACCGGCGCCUCAAGUGGUAGUCGCUUUUAUUGGGCCUAAAACGUCCGUAGCCGGUCUGAUACAUUCGUGGGUAAAUCAACCAGCUUAACUGGUUGAAUUCUGCGAGGACGGUCAGACUUGGGACCGGGAGAGGUGUGGGGUACGCUCAGGGUAGGGGUAAAAUCCUGUCAUCCUGAGCGGACCACCUGUUGCGAAGGCGCCACACUAGAACGGAUCCGACGGUCAGGGACGAAGCCUAGGGGCACGAACCGGAUUAGAUACCCGGGUAGUCCUAGGUGUAAACGCUGUGGACUUGAUGUUGGGGGUGCUCCGAGCACUCUCAGUGUCGAAGCGAAGGUGAUAAGUCCACUGCCUGGGAAGUACGGUCGCAAGGCUGAAACUUAAAGGAAUUGGCGGGGGAGCACCGCAACCUGAGGAUUGUGCGGUUUAAUUGGAUUCAACGCCGG
rnacentral:rRNA from 1 species